CCCGUACUUGGUGUUACUGCGAAGGGGGGACGGAGAAGGCUAUGUUGGCCGGGCGACGGUUGUCCCGGUUUAAGCGUGUAGGUGUGUGUUCCAGGUAAAUCCGGUUCACUUUAACACUGAGGCGUGACGACGAGGCACUACGGUGCUGAAGCAACAAAUGCCCUGCUUCCAGGAAAAGCCUCUAAGCAUCAGGUAACAUCAAAUCGUACCCCAAACCGACACAGGUGGUCAGGUAGAGAAUACCAAGGCGCUU
rnacentral:rRNA from 1 species